ACUCUGCAACAUUUAACAGGCCCAUUACAUUACAACAGUGGACAGCAUGACAUAUUUCCUUUAUCUUAACGAAUCCAGAGGUAUAGCUGUUACUGCCCCUGGCAGAGAAUUGUCUGAGGUAAUUGAUGCUUUGCAGAAAGUCUGGAAGAAAUCUUCUUUGGCAGUUCCAAAGCUGUUACAAAGUGCAAUGAAGUAGUGCCCUUCAGUCAACUGAAAAUAAUCAGUAGGAGAGAGGCUUUGGUGCAUGGACGAAUCCAAACCUUGUGUUGCUUUCAUGCUUUUUUGUGCACUGUCAUGAAUUUUUCAGCAAAUUAUACAGUAACAGAAAUUAUAGCAGACAUCAUUAACUCUUGGCAGGACAUAUUCUCCCUGGACAAGACCAACAGUAUCCUCUCCAGACAUCUAUCGAGGUCUUUUUUGAGGUUUAAAGGCCUCCAAGGGAGAGAUUUGUCCCCUGCAUUUAUAAAAUAAUAGCACAGUCGAGCACAACUUCAGUUCCCUUCGGGAUGUUUGUGUGCUGGGAAGAGAAGCAAUAUUUAUUUCAUUAAACCAAAUAAAGUAAACUGAAGAUUAAAAUUAAUAUAUUGGAAUUCCUCUAGUACAAUACAUGAAAAAAGGUACACACUAUGUCACAAAAAUACCUACAGGAUCAAAGAACGCGCUAUACUGAACCCACCAGUCCCUUUCCCAGCUUCUAACCAGAGCUGGCCAGAAUCAGAAGAUUCAGAGAAGGCUUUAAACAACUUACAUUUUAAAAAAUGGGAAAAUCUGGUUCCCAUUUAUCACACUCUAAUAAUACUUGGUUGUUUUAAACACUGACUAACAAGAUUUAGAAUAGAUUUUUGUUCUGGUUAUUCUUGUUCUCCAAGUAUAUCUCCAAACUAUUUUUGAAACUUGUGAAAUUCUUUGUCUCAAUAGCUUAUUUUGACAGUGACUGCAAAGUCUGUACCCUUGAGAAAAAUAUAUCUUAUAUUAAUUUUGAA